UUCAUGUUAAAAUCAUGCAAUGCUAAUUCUGAAAAUCUCUUUAAUGACUUGUUUUAAUUCCACACAAAAUAAAGAUUACCAAACUGCAAGGAACAAAGAAAUGUCGACGUGGAAACAUAAAGGCUCAGAUGGGAAGAUUUCUACAAACGAAACGUUACAAUGGUAAACUGAAACCGUCAUUGAACAUCAGCUAAUGCAAACAGGAUAAAUCACAUAUCACUUGAUUUCAGCGUCGAUUCACAGGUUGACUAAAAAUUUGACUCACAAAUGAGAAAUGCUGCCCCAGGGGACAAGAAAAGAUAAAGAAAUUUGUUAUUGAAAGCUUUAAGUUAUAGGAAGAAAAGAAACAAUAUUGUAGAGUCGUUUUUGUUACAUUAGAGGAAAUUUUUGUAACCGAGCAACGGGUUAUACUCCGAAAAUAUUGCAAUCAUGUUGAAAAGGAGACCAUUGAGUAUUAUAUUAGAUAGAUAGCGUAAGUGAUGCCCCUUCUCAAACUGUAGUAUCACGUAUAUAGAAUAUUUCGACAGAUUUAAGCUGACUAGUAAUAUCUCCUACUUAACCAAGUGUCUGACACCUAAUCAACUAAGUCAAUGUUUACACUUCUUAGCAGUGCUUGUUUAUUUUAUUUUUCUUAGGCAUGCGAGUCACACGCUAUCAGCCAAGGAAAGGGAAAAAAAAAGGUCCUCCCUAAAAGAUCCGGUUUGAAUUUUUUAGGCGUUGAGCCAACACCCUCGUAAUCUCAGGGUUUGACCCAUGAUGUCCUAAGUAUUGUCUGUUGCUCACGUACUGAAGUCGAGGUAUUUGAAUGGUAAACAGUCUAAUUCGGUGCGAUGAGUCGGAGCAUAGCUUUUAUCACCUCGUAAGAUUACUGCUAGUUUUAUGGUUUAAGUUGUGGACAUGAUGUUUUAACAAUGCCUUCAGUGGUACCCAACCGAGCGAGUUUGAAUAGGCUUCAAGCCAGAAAGAAUAAGCAUUAAAACUGCUCUUCGCGUAAUAAAACUGCCGCGCCAGCUGUGAGUUGUAUCUUGCGAACAAAAUGCUCUCUGCUUCUGUCGAGUUGAUACUUUAUUCACCAGUUUGUCGUAUGGCUAAAACUGUUGUCGUUUAAUGGCGGUAAAAUAAGAAUUUACGAACGCGUGUGACUAUCCGAGCCGCCGUCAAUGUGUUCGGUCAAAUCGAUUGCGUUCACCAGUGGUCACGUAUGAACGAACAUGCACUUCAGACCACGCGAUGUGCAAUGUACACACACGCGAUCACAAAAUAGCCACAGAUUUUAUGGACUUUGCUCGUAUGUUUGAAAAACGUGAAAAGGGAGCAACACACACCACUAAAAUAGAUCCUUUUGAUUGUAAACAAGAGCAACUCUGUACAAGGCCCAAUCAACUUUUUAAGGCGUUUAGCUGCGGCCUAAACCAACUUUUGUCAAAUAAAAACUUAAGAUAGCUUCUA